GGUAAUGUUAGGAGCCGGGCCUGGGGGGAGGGGGUCAUAAGGUCACAAGGGAUUAAUAGUUCAUAAGAGAGACCUCAAAUAGCUGCCUUCCCCUCCUCCUUUUGCCACGUGAGAACUCCAAAAAGCCUCUUGCCGUGAAGGAGAUGCAAAGUCCACCUUGAUCUUCAGCCUUCGGGUCUGAGAGAUAACUGUCUGUACAUUCGCCACCCUGUUUAUGGCUUGGAGUUAGAGCAGCCUAGAUGAACUCAGUUUCCGAGAGUCUGGGGCACCUGGUGGAUCUGGAUGUGGGAGGAAAAAAGAAUCACUCAACCUUCAGUCCCUAGCGCGCAAAGGUCUGCCCUCAGUGUACUGCAAGGCUGGGAUGUUUCAAUGAUGCCCGAGGUGAGAGCAGACUGGCAUAGCGGCUACACCUGGGGGAUUCCCAGUUCUUUCUGGACACUUGAUGUCUCAAGUUCCAAGGCCAGCUCAUCUGAGAAGGGGACCCUUCUCUGAGUCCCACACUGAGGUAGGCUCCUGCAGCCUGGAAGCAUGCAAAUCAACAGAAGAACAGUUUCGUCAGAUAAGACCUGCAACGAACUUGGAAAGCCUGCUUUCAAGUUCUCACAGCCUUGACCUCCCUCACGUGUGGUCAAGGUGGAAUGCAGUGUUGGUCCUUGGAGAGGUCAAUAGCAACUGAUCCCCUCCCCCUUCCCCCAUGAGAGUAGCAGAGAAACCCAUCUUCAUACCCCCCAAAAGACUCAUUCAGAUCUUUGCCCCCAACUCUGUAGAACCGUAUCUGGAUGACCUCAGUGUUGACUUCCGUGACGUGGUUCAGUACUUAUUUUUAAAUCUUAGAAAGCCUCAAAAAAUAUGGAGCCAUAAAAAAGUGUCCAGGUAUUAGAUCAAGCUCUGACAUUUAAAUGAAUGUGCUGCUUGUAUCUUUGUGUUAAAGCAACAUUUUAAGCAGAAUGUUUUGUGGUCUCCUCAUCAAUAUAUGUACUCCUGUGUGCAUGAUUGGUCUCAGAAACAGGCAAACCUGUUAGUAGGAACCAAUCUUUACAUAUAAGAGGGCAAAAGUGGAGGGCUAUCUUUUAUUUCUUAAUGUUUAUCUUAUAAACAACUUCUGCCUUCCUUGUUGCUUAUAAUGGCACUGUUUGCCCUGUGGCUCAGGUUAUAUGUAGAAGUUAAGAUGGACCAUAGUUGGGGGGAGGUACGUUUCUCCCAUCGGAACCCAAUUCUCGGUCACUGAGGCCACGGGUCCCUGCCAGCUUGUUACAAAGCAGAGUUGAAUAUCGGCAAGGCGCCAUGCUUUGGGGGACUUGGGAGAGACAGGUUAUGAAGCUCUCCCCUUCCUAGUACCAAGAUCGUCCUCUACUUUGUAAUUCUCCCAUGAACACUGGCAGGGCCGGAUGAGAGUCUAUGGGAACACGAGCUUACAGCAAAGCCAGCACAAGAAACACUUAGGCUCCAAGACAGAGCCGCCAGCCAAUUACCACCUUCUUUGCACCUGUGCCUGUUGCAGACAUUUUUAUCUUUCUUGCCGUGCUUCAUUGACCAAUGGAUUUUUUUUCCCCAGCUUUGCACUUUUUUUUAUUACUAUUAUUUUCAUCUUCAUCAUUACCUCCCUGCCUCCGAUGGCAUUUAGACAUGAACAGCCUAUGAACCUUCGAGCCCGAUUGUGCCACGACAAAAAUAUUGUCGUUUACAUUCUGUGCCAAAGUAUUAUAUAAAAACACAUCAACGAGAAGGAAAUUUAGGAAGCUGGGAGUAAAGAUAUAUAGUCAGCAAAGUAUAUAACUUCUGGCAUAUUACUGCUUAAUCCUAACAUAAUUAUUCUCAUCCUUUUAUUUGAUUAACUUCUAAUGGUUCCUCUUGGUGUUAAAGGUCCCACUCUGAUCAUUUGAUUUUAGUGUCUGCCGUAAUUACCGAUAAUGUUCUUUGCAAGACAAUUUAAUGAUAACCGCAUAAUGGCCUAUAUGAAGAAAGCUGCAGGGUUUCAAAGCUUUUGAGUAAUAUAAAAUACAUUAGACUAACACAAGCUAUCAACAUGACAAGGAAUGUUUGAUUUACACUCAGGACUGUGUUAUAGUGCCGUGGAAUUUUUUUUCCCUUUGCCUUUUCCUUUUGCUUUUUUUUUUUUUUUCCUUUCUGCAGCCGUUUACAACAAAUGACAGAACAGUUGGACAAUCUGCAACUCGCUGAUUACAAAAAAAAAAAAAAAAAAAAAAAGCAAAAACAAUGUAUCGUGAAGUUUGGAAUGCGGCAGUGGCAGCCAGAGGAUCUCUGGUAGAGGAGCCUCCUUAGAGUAGAACUAAGACAAGAGCCAGAGUCUGACUCCUCCAGGGAUGGAUACCAAAUGGCCUCUCCUGCCAAACCAAAUAGGUAGCUCAGCUAAAAAUUGACAAACUGAUUCUUCUAGCUCAUCUCCGUACACUUCAGAUUCCAGCCGCUCAAAGCUCCCACCCUAAUCCUUCUUCUUGGAUUAAAUUCUUGGAGCUGCAGGCUCCUCUCAGGGUGGCCUGCCUCAGUCAAACAACUACUUUUAGGAUCAAAAUGGAAAUAAUUUGUUUUCCAUUUCUCCUUCUCACCUCCUAAAGUGAGCAAACAGAAAACAAUCAACAGUUUGGUCCAAACCCUGAUGGCAAAUGGAACAGACCCUCUCUUCUCGCUUGCCCCCGGCCAAUGCCCCUGCGCCUUAGGCAUUCUGCACUUGGGAGCCUGGCAUAUGUGUCUUUUCUACUGGAAAUAAAGCGAUCACUCACU